CGAUAAUAUUUAAUGUGAAAAGAACCACGAGAGAGAAAAAGGAGAGGAGAAAGUGAAAUAAGCCGCACGGCUCGCUUAGACGCUAUUUUAGAUUUUCUUGUUCUCAUCAUCUAAACGCGUAAUUAAAGAGGCUGGAUUACAUGUAUAUAUUUUCUGAUGCCAUAAGUGACCAUUAAGACAGUUUGUUACAUUUUUCCUUUGACUGUAUGUUUAUCUACAUCGAUAAGAAGAAUUAUAUUAACUGUAUCUUUUCAAUCUAAUAACAGUCUUGUAUAUUUACAGCGACACGUUAAAUAUACAGAAUGUUUAUAUUUUAUAAACGUUUAAACUAAAGUAGUGUAGGCUAACGGUUAAAAUGUGUGAAAGAGUCAGUGUAUACAAAAAUCCUACAAAUGCAGAUUUCUCUCAGUGAAACGUCGAUUUUUAUGAGCACCGAUAACAGUCUAUAAGACACUUUUGGAUUAGGCUUUAAGGGUGUCAUCGGGAAUGGCCUGAAAUCCCUUUUCAUUCUCCGCGAAGUCAGAUGAGUACAUAGGCUAUGCACGCUAAAUUAAUUUUAUACUAUAUCAGGCUACUUAAUCCAGAAGACCCCUCAAUGACAAAAACAAAAUAAUGCUUAGAAUUCAAUGCAAAAUAACAUGAAAAUAAAUUAAGAUUUGAAGAUAACUAACAAAAUUUAUUCUCCAUAGUCUACAUAAAUAGUUGUAUAUUAUACAGGGUUUAUAUUUUAAUUCAGGACUUUGUGGUGAGUCAUUGGCUCCCAUUAUAUUUAUAGGAGCUGUGGGAAAGUUUGAAAUCCUUUUCUCUAUAGGUUUUAAAUAUGCAUAAGUAUGGUAAUCGCGGUCCUGCUGUGUUGCAAAUAGGCGCAGCAGAUCAUACAUGUGCUACACAACUUCGGACCGUACGAAGUCGCCAAGAUGAGGACAUGCAGAGUCCAAGUAAGUCCUGUUUCUCUCAUUGACGUCUGUUCGUAUAAAGAGAUAAAGCAGGGCUGUCUGAAGUUUGUUUAAGGCGGAAAGCAUGCGAGCACAGGACAGCACGUGUGUUGACCCAUUGGGAGUAAAUCUUUACGUGUGCCCGUCUGACCACUUCUAUUGGGUGCCAGAUCAGUUGAGCAAAGGUUCACAAGAUGAAGAUCAGACGCUUUACGAUUAGGAACUAUGAAGAAGACAUGCCUAAGAUUCCGCAAAAAGUUCUGGAAAAGAGUCUUGACUCGAAAGUGAACGCAAUUAUAUUAAUAGGAAGUGGAUAUUAGGCCUAAUGAUGACUUUAGCGGGCUGAAGGAAAAUGUGACCAUCACUUACCCACUGGAAUUGAGCAGGAGGAAACUGGCAUCAAUUUUAUCAAAUGAUUAACCAACAUGAAUGAUGCUUCUGAGGAACUGCGUUGCUCUUUGAAGUGAGGAAGGAAGGACAGCAGUGGGGUUGAAUCAAGCAGGAGUGGUUGGCAUAGACUGUAUUGAGUCGCAGGGUCCAGUUCUGGAAAGAGUGGCUCAAGCACCUCUUUUAUUGCUCAGAGAAAUAAUGUGCGGUCGGUGAAGAAUCUGACACAGAUAGGCUGAUGAAUUCUGCAGAGUCAGUACAAGCAAAGUGAUGCUGAAAAACACAUCUGUGCCGAUCUUGGACCACACAUCAAAGGCAUAUGCUUCUCCUGAGGCAGCGUGCUGUAUGUAGCACUUUUAAUUUAUUCCUCUGGGUUGAAGUACUUUUUGUUGUUGUCUUGCUUUUUAUAUUUAAUUAUUUACUUUCUGGGACAAGAGAUUUAGAAUGGAGAUGGCUAGAUGAGACAAAUAUAACAAGCAACAUGACCGUAAGCAACAUCCACAAUAUACAGCUAACAGUAUAUGUACUGGCAUAAAGGUCCUCUCCUCUCAUGCUUGUUAUCGCCUUCUAAGGUUUUAAGAAAUAUAAUACUAUAAUAACCAAAGAGAGUGAAAGCUAUAGGGGAUAAGUGGAAUAGGAUAAGUUAUUCUCUUGCCCAACAGCAAACAAGAAAUAAUGAGGGGAGGCAGAAACACAGACCCUCCCAGACCUGUGUUCUUCACAACAAGAAAAAAAAAAACACACUCUUUUCAGGUUAUAAGGAGAUGUGUAAGCAAAAACCAUGUGAGAGGACGGGGAGGAACAAAGCUGAAGACAAGAAAGUGUCGGACACUCCAUUAUUGUUCUCCUCUUUGUUAGCGAACAGUACAUGCAGAUUUUUGAGAACUUGGUGAUAUUUUUUGUCAGUCAUGUACUGUACCUUAAUAAUGGCUUAGACUGGAAGUGAUUCACCUGAUUCAUGUUUCAUAAUGAGGCACGGUUUAGUUUCCUUUUGUUGAAGAAUCGAAGGCCUGUUGAGAUGUCGAACUCCUGGUCGGUGGAAGGAGUUGUGGAAAGUGAGAAGUGUCCAUUUCAUCUAAGAUGAUGUUUCAGGAUGUGAGUCAGAUCUCAAAGGCAAUGAAAUUUAAAGCAUCAUUUCAUCUUUGUGCGUGCAUUGUGCUGGUUUGUUUUUAUUGCAAAAUUUAAAACACAGAAGCGAGGAAAACAAUGGCUCCACAAUGGCGCCUGAGUGAAGAAAGUGCCUACGAUGAGGUUUCAUUUGAGAAGAAAGAUCUUGAGAGCAGCUGUCAGAGGGCCAUCCUGGGUCUAUUAGCGCCAAACCAUUUCAGAAUUCAACUUAUGAAUGUGCACUUAAAGUCUGACAGGGCAAUGGAGACAGUUCAUUUUGCUACAAUCCUCCAUUUUUUAUUUCUCAUUGAUCUGUUCUCCUCAAACUGUACAGUUGGAUUAAGUGUGUAUCUAUAUUAAAGAGGUAUAAUAAUACAUUGUAAGCCUGCCGACAGACAGCCUGGAAUAUUGGGAAUGUCAGAAUCCUUCCUAGUGCUAGACAACUUUUAAUAAAACUGGCAAGCUGUGUGGAAAACUUUGUGAUGCUUAUGAGGACUCUUCCCUUGUGCCUUAGAGAGAGAGCGAGGUUCUUGAUAAAUGGAAUGAUCAUGGUAGCUUGAGCUGGACUAAAUGAGCAGCAAGGGAUUUGUAAGGGCUUAAUGUCAGAAUUAGUGCUUUGUGUCAAAUCACUUAUAGACCAGAGUGAGGAAUAACAAAGCUUUUAUUUAAGAAAUACUUUUUUGAGAAUCACUCUUUGCUCUUUACUCAAAAAGAGCUUGUAUUUGCUGGCUAAUAAUUCUGACUCGAAAUUGUGAUGAAAUGAGCCAUAACAAAGUUUGUUUCAAACGCAGCAUCAGAAAGCGACAUUAACUUAAUCUUGGAAACCAAAAAAUAAAAAAUAAAUAAAUAAUAUGUUUAUUAAAAAAAAUAAUUUAUUAAAACAUUUUCUACAUUUACUGUUGUGGCAAAACUAAUUGUAUAUAUUGUAAAGUUGAGAAUAAUUAUUAAAGUAAUUUUAUCAUCUGAAAUAAUCAUGUUUAUUUUUUUUAUUCUGAAAAUUAAUAAUAAAUUUAACUGGCCUGGCCUUUCGUGGUGUCAAUGAAAUAGCAUUGAACAAACAUAAGAAAGUAUAAAAGUACAAGAUAACAAGUGCAAAAGUAAAAUUUGUUCUGAUGACACGACUGCAGAGCAAGACUCCACAUAUUUUUUUGUAAAGGCGUUAAAACAACUGUGAUCCAGAGUGUCGUUUUUACGGAUUUGAAUGUUUUAAACUCCUCAUGUUUAAUAAUUUUUAAUGUAACAUUUCUGUGUGUAAUGUAGGUCUAAAUGACUAUCUGUUCUAAAGUGUUCUUCUCUCUGCUGCAGGUUGAGAGAGCUCUCUCUCCAGCACAUGCCUCCCUCAUUAGUGUCCAGCAGAUGAAGACGCAAGGUCACAAACCCAAUGAGCUGCCCAUUUCAUUCAGUUUUCCCGAAAUGGAAAGAUGACCACUGUGACCUAAUGUUGCAGUACGGUCUGACAGCACAUUGUACACAACAUAUAAAGUAGCUUGAAUAACCCUUGAACCUUGUGUGGAGUGCAUUAUUUUUUAUGAAAUUGCUAUAGUGUCCAACUUUUCAACAUGCUUGUAGAUUUUAUUCAUUCAAUAAAUUGUGAAUUUUCCUAAAAAGGGAACAGGUCUUGUGAUUUAUUUGCUGAACUGUGGGUGAUGAAAUAUUUAAUAUCCUGGGUAUUAAAAUGAUCAGUCUCGGAUCCAUUGAGAGGGUUGACAUGGUUGAAUCAGUACCACACUAAGGAACUGCUGCACAGGGAAUUAUUGCUUCUGUCUGAACAUGUCACCUCUACAAUAUUUCUAUGAUUAUAAUGUACAAUUAUCCUUUCUUUUCGUUUUCUCUGGCUUGUCAUUGUUGAAACAUUUCACACACACAAUAUGAAAGAACAAUAAAGUCUAGACUCAAUGUCAUUGCUUGGAUUUGAUUUAUACACUUAAGUAUUUCACAUGCAUAAUGCAAAGUAGCUCUCACACUUCACGUUUUGUUCUUCAAACAGUUUAGCCCACAUAAUGUGACUAAGGUAAAAUGAGCAAGACAAAUUUCAUGUUUUAAUGUCCCAGAAAAGCUGGUUGUCUGUUUUCUCUGAAUUGCAUCAGGAAGUGGUCAAGAUGCACGAAUAAAGCUACUUUGGUCUGGAAAUGAGAGUUCAUAUAUUCUGCUCUUUCUGCAUGUGUCACAAAGAGUUGAUCACAUGGGAGUCUAAAAGAACACCUGAACACAAAGCCAGGCAUUGUGUGUCGUUCUGACCUCAGUGUCAUGUGACUGUGUCAUGGCCAGGUGUUGCAUGUAUCUGGAGCAGAAAAGAUGUUUUGCUCUUAAGACCAAACCAAACAAACUAAAGGAACAGAGAGGAAAGGAA
ensembl:lncRNA